CACCAGGGGGCGCUCACAUUUUUAAGUCAAGAUUUCUGUGUUGUUGUCUUCAGGUUGCGACGCUGUCUUGUCUGUGUGUUGCAUGAGUUUGUGCACUGCUGCAAGGAUUGUCGCUUCAGUUCCUGUAGGCAGCAGGUGGCUCUAUGAACUAAAGAUGAGGAACUGCAGCACCUGAUGUUCUCAGCAGCAACAUGGUGGAGAUCUGCAGCUUCAUGCUGGUCAACAUGUGGACGAUGUCAUCAUCAUCAGAAGCUACACAACACUGUGAAAUUAGUCUUAUAUAAAGAUGGCCUGCAACUGUUUAGUGGUGGCAAUCAUUGUUAAUUGUCAUGGAUAACAAUUCAUUUCUAUCUUCAUUAUGGUUGGUUAAAAUAAUAAAAACUUAUAACAACAA